rnacentral:rRNA from 1 species
GAUGAACGCUAGCGGGAGGCCUAACACAUGCAAGCCGAGCGGUAUUUGUUCUUCGGAACAGAGAGAGCGGCGCACGGGUGCGGAACACGUGUGCAACCUGCCUUUAUCUGGGGGAUAGCCUUUCGAAAGGAAGAUUAAUACCCCAUAAUAUAUUGAGUGGCAUCAUUUGAUAUUGAAAACUCCGGUGGAUAGAGAUGGGCACGCGCAAGAUUAGAUAGUUGGUGAGGUAACGGCUCACCAAGUCAAUGAUCUUUAGGGGGCCUGAGAGGGUGAUCCCCCACACUGGUACUGAGACACGGACCAGACUCCUACGGGAGGCAGCAGUGAGGAAUAUUGGACAAUGGGUUAGCGCCUGAUCCAGCCAUCCCGCGUGAAGGACGACGGCCCUAUGGGUUGUAAACUUCUUUUGUAUAGGGAUAAACCUACCCUCGUGAGAGUAGCUGAAGGUACUAUACGAAUAAGCACCGGCUAACUCCGUG